rnacentral:rRNA from 1 species
UACGUAGGUGGCAAGCGUUGUCCGGAUUUACUGGGCGUAAAGAGCGCGCAGGCGGUCGUUCAAGUCGCGUGUGAAAGCCCCCGGCUCAACUGGGGAGGGUCACGCGAUACUGAUCGACUCGAAGGCAGGAGAGGGAAGUGGAAUUCCCGGUGUAGUGGCGAAAUGCGUAGAUAUCGGGAGGAACACCAGUGGCGAAGGCGACUUCCUGGCCUGUUCUUGACGCUGAGGCGCGAAAGCUAGGGGAGCAAACGGG